GCUGUUUCCCACAGGAUUUUUGGGGCAGAGCCAUUCCCGACGCUGCGUUCUGGAUCCAAACGGGGCUUGUGGGCUGCAGCUCUUUUGAAGGCUUCGCUCUGUCACAAGGUUUCCCGAACGGGAAGGAGGAUUCCCCUGGCCGCGGUGACCUCCUAGGCAGCUCCUGGCCGAGGGAUGGAGCUGUGGAGCAGGGCAGACCCCCAGCUCCGGGCGGUGCUGUGGUUCGCGCUGCGCUGCCGGGCCCUGGCGCUGCUGCUGCAGGCAAGUCCGUCCUCCAGCCAGGGAGCUCCGCUGGGGUUUGCUGCUCCCAGAUCCUCCCUGCUGUGCCCCAGAGAUCCGUGAGCUGCUUCUGCGCAAUGGGGAAAUCAUCCUCUCUGGAGAGCCAACAGACUGUCCACAGCCAACUUACAGGCCGUGUUUAACGCGCUGAUCCCGGACCACGCUGCCGACGCCUUCUCG